GUCUCUGGCGAACCCCAGCCCUCUACCGCGAGGAAGCAUGGACCCCCGCACCCGCCGCCCAGCCCGCGCCGCCCCUCGGUCGCUCCGCCCGCCGCUGCCCGCUUGCUAUGGUCUUUUAAAUCCAUGAUACAACGUCUGUUUACAGAGGCUGGGAAACUGGGGACUGGACUUACAUGCCAGGAGCUUCUAAGAUCACACGCAAAAAUAAGGCUACUGGAAGAGAUUGUUGGAAUCUAUCUCUGUAUAUUUGAACAUGGGCAGUGGUUAACCAGGAUGCUCACACCAAGCUUAUAUCCAGCUUGCAGCACAAGCUACAAGUUGGUGCAUCCCUCCUACUACCAGCCUCCUCUCAAUAAAUGCAGGUGAAAACGGGGGGCUCUUUUCCCUCAGCUGUUCAAUCCAACAUGAAUAGUUGCAAUUUGCAAAUUAGAGGAAAAUGACAGUGUUUUCUCUGAAUGGUUUUGGUCCCAACGCACACUGCUAAUGCUGGCAUUCAGUUCCUUUCCUUCCCAGCCCAGGGAACGGGGGAACUAAGCAUAAGGCAGGCAUUCUCUUUUCUUGCAAGUGCCUCAGAUCCACACACCAGAGAAGGAAUCAGCUCCCCCUGGAAUCUUUUUCAGCAAACACAAUCCUUCACCUAGUCUGCAAGCUCUCUCUUGACUUUAAGAUUUCACUCUUUUUUCGACAGGCAGGCCCAUCUGCAAGCACCCAAGCUCCAAGUGAAGGCACCAAAAUAAUUUUUAAAAUGUCAAAGAGCAAAUGUGCCUUCAACACCCAGAGCUCCAGUAAAAAUACUGUGAGUUGCCCCUGUGGUUCUCAGGUGACCUCUGGCUUCAUCCUCCCUGCAGCGCUGCCUCCUCAGGUUCUCUAGUUUAAGCUCAGAGGUAAAGGAAGUGCUUCUGGGUUUUGCUUCCAACAACCCAGGCUCUUCCUGAAAGCAUUACCUCAAAGUGAAGGCUGCCCAGAAGCACUUUUGGCCUUGCAAACAUCUAGAGGUGGCAUACUCAACAGGUGCUAGGGAUGCUCAGAGGCUCAGAGGGGCCAUACCAGGCUGCAGCUUUAGGCAGGCACCCCUCCUUCUGGCACAAACACAAACUUCAUACCCCUGGGUGCUGAUGUAGUGACAGCUUGAAUCUCACAAGGAGUCCCCUCCAGAAACCCAACAUGCUUCAGGAAAGGCACUUGAGAGGGAGCCGACUUUUUAGCUACGGGGAGCAUAAGGGUCAGCCAGAACAUCUGGAGAAGGGACUAACUGAGCUUGGGUCCUACCAGGCAGGGAGAGAGCUGUGCAUUAGGAAAGGAUCACUUCAAGACAGAGAUGAACAAAAAACCUGGAGAUAGGGGUAGAGAAGGAAAAGAGAGGCAGAAAUUGAAAGGGAGAACAUAAAAACAGAGAGACAAAAAAAAAAAAGCAGGGAGAAAGAGACACAAGGAGAGAGACACACAGGAAGAAA